AGAGUUCGAUCCUGGCUCAGGACGAACGCUGGCGGCGUGCCUAAUACAUGCAAGUCGAACGAAGCUUUCUUUCACCGAAUGCUUGCAUUCACCGAAAGAAGCUUAGUGGCGAACGGGUGAGUAACACGUAGGCAACCUGCCCAAAAGAGGGGGAUAACACUUGGAAACAGGUGCUAAUACCGCAUAACCAUGAACACCGCAUGAUGUUCGUGUAAAAGACGGCUUUUGCUGUCACUUUUGGAUGGGCCUGCGGCGUAUUAACUUGUUGGUGGGGUAACGGCCUACCAAGGUGAUGAUACGUAGCCGAACUGAGAGGUUGAUCGGCCACAUUGGGACUGAGACACGGCCCAAACUCCUACGGGAGGCAGCAGUAGGGAAUCUUCCACAAUGGACGAAAGUCUGAUGGAGCAACGCCGCGUGAAUGAAGAAGGCCUUCGGGUCGUAAAAUUCUGUUGUCAGAGAAGAAUGUGCGUGAGAGUAACUGUUCACGUAUUGACGGUAUCUGACCAGAAAGCCACGACUAACUACGUGCCAGCAGCCGCGGUAAUACGUAGGUGGCAAGCGUUGUCCGGAUUUAUUGGGCGUAAAGGGAACGCAGGCGGUCUUUUAAGUCUGAUGUGAAAGCCUUCGGCUUAACCGAAGUAGUGCAUUGGAAACUGGAAGACUUGAGUGCAGAAGAGGAGAGUGGAACUCCAUGUGUAGCGGUGAAAUGCGUAGAUAUAUGGAAGAACACCAGUGGCGAAAGCGGCUCUCUGGUCUGUAACUGACGCUGAGGUUCGAAAGCGUGGGUAGCAAACAGGAUUAGAUACCCUGGUAGUCCACGCCGUAAACGAUGAGUGCUAAGUGUUGGAGGGUUUCCGCCCUUCAGUGCUGCAGCUAACGCAUUAAGCACUCCGCCUGGGGAGUACGGUCGCAAGACUGAAACUCAAAGGAAUUGACGGGGGCCCGCACAAGCGGUGGAGCAUGUGGUUUAAUUCGAAGCAACGCGAAGAACCUUACCAGGUCUUGACAUCUUCUGACAAUUCCAGAGAUGGAACGUUCCCUUCGGGGACAGAAUGACAGGUGGUGCAUGGUUGUCGUCAGCUCGUGUCGUGAGAUGUUGGGUUAAGUCCCGCAACGAGCGCAACCCUUAUUGUCAGUUGCCAUCAUUAAGUUGGGCACUCUGGCGAGACUGCCGGUGACAAACCGGAGGAAGGUGGGGAUGACGUCAAAUCAUCAUGCCCCUUAUGACCUGGGCUACACACGUGCUACAAUGGACGGUACAACGAGUCGCUAACUCGCGAGGGCAAGCUAAUCUCUUAAAGCCGUUCUCAGUUCGGAUUGCAGGCUGCAACUCGCCUGCAUGAAGUCGGAAUCGCUAGUAAUCGCGAAUCAGCAUGUCGCGGUGAAUACGUUCCCGGGCCUUGUACACACCGCCCGUCACACCAUGAGAGUUUGUAACACCCAAAGUCGGUGGGGUAACCUUUUGGAGCCAGCCGCCUAAGGUGGGACAGAUGAUUGGGGUGAAGCCGUAACGAGGUA
rnacentral:rRNA from 1 species